GGACCUGGUGAUGGGGAUGAUCAGGCAGGCUCUAGACGGAGUCGAUCUCUCGGCCCACCCACAAAGGAGCUUCCAGCAGCUCCAGGCUUUUCAUCCUGGUGCAUCUCCGUGUGAUCAGUCGUGGAGAAAACCUCAGAGAACGAGCUCAUACAGAAGGAACCAAGCCUUCAGCGAGAAACCAGAGAGGAUUGGAGAAGCAGAGGUCCUUGAAGUCCACGCUGAAACUCAAAAUAAUCUUCAAGAUCCUCCACUUGAGUACACAGAGAGUGUUUAGUUUCCUGAUGUUCACUGUACUGGUAACUUAAUUCUGGUUUCCUUAUAAUGAGUAUUGAUUGGUUUUUAUGUUCAUGGAAAAAUAUAUAAUAGGCUCUCAUUUUUCAUUUUUGCUUUGUUACUUGAAACCAUGGACAAUGUAAUGAGUUCUCCAGUAUUAUAUAAUUUAAUUAUACAACAUACUGUACAAUAGGAAGGAUAGUGUAACAUAGGAGGAUGUUUCAUAAUUGUAUAUCAUCAUCUGGUAAUACUGAGAAUAAUUUUCAAGAUCAUCCACUUCAGAACGCAGUAUAGUUUUUGUUUUCUCAAUCUUUUAUUGUAGUGUUCUGUAUUAUGGUUUCAUUAUUAUGAGAAUUGAGUGGUUAGCUUGUUUAGUGUUCUCUUGGUGAAUGAUGUUUUCCUUUGCGUAUUUGUUUUUGUUUUGCUGAUGUUUCUCAGAAUGCGAGCUGCUUUAUUGAGAAGUUUCAGACUUAUUUUUACAAAUGAAUAACGAAUAUACUGUACGAUAAGGGAGAUAGUAUUACAUAAUGCUGUAGGUUUGAUUUGUUUUAAUUAAAUAUCAGUUGUCAGGUGGAUCAAGUGUAACCUGUUGAGUGUAGGGAUAUAAAACUUGAACGUUGAUAGUAAGUAUAUUCCUGGCUUUAAGUGUGAAAAAAGGAACACAAUACACGCAUCGUUUCACCUUGGUCAGAGAAAGUCCUCUAAGUUCCUAAAAUGCAACAUAUUUAGCACAAAAUGGUGCUGUUGGCAGUUGGUGUAUUAGCCAGCCUUACUAACUGCAUUAAAUGACCAGCAGACAAGGUUAGCUUCCCUCCUCUGUAAAGGGUUGAUAACACUGAUGCCCAAAGGCCUACUUAUAUGACUUUGAAGACAGAGUUGGCCUAAAAAACGAGUUUAACUUAAAUUCAUAAAUAUAGCAUGGCCGGCCCAUAUCGGCAUCAUUCUGUAUGACGAAGGUGCAAUUUGCCUCUUCUCUCUCAGUCCUUUCCAUUUUGGGUAAAAUAUUUAAAGCCUUUGCAUUUGUUAAAAUUUUUAUAUAAUCUAUUCAAGUAUUUAAAUGUUCAGUCCAAGUGCCCAGAGCCGUAUUUAACAAUUGGGCCUUUAAAUAAGCAUUCAGGACUGGAAGUGGAUGUCACCAGGUGCUAAAGCCUUCAAGCACAUGGCCGGAUUUGGCACCACAUAACCACGGGUGUGUAAUUGCCAUCAUUCCUGGUGAAAAUUGGAGUUGAGAACACAGAGUCCCUGAAUUAUCAUGAAGUGGAUCCUGUCACUCAAAACCAGAGGGUUUCAUAAUUUUUUGCAAAUUUGAUAAAAGGCGAGGCUCGAGAAAACAUAAGCUUUAUUUUCUUGUGUGAUAGCCAAGAACACAAUUAUACCACUUAUUUUGCCCUCUCUUACACAAAAAUAGUUGUGACAGUGUGGUUGACUAAACAACACAAGGGGGGACCGCUAAAGCUCUGUGGGAGCGUGGGUCUGUCAGAGGGACGGGUAAACCCAGCCCUACGAUGUUGUUUAUAGCAGAACCAAAUGAUUAACAUAGCACUCCUGUUGGCAAAUCAAUUUAUCACUUAAUCAAUCUAGAAAAGCUCACGGUAAAGUAUCCUGUAGUUGUUUCGAUAUUUGACAACAAAGUGUCGAACAACUGACUGUCCUCAAUUCAAAUAAUGUCGUCUGAGCAGCAUUACUUUUCCCUCAAAACAAUGUCCUCCCGAUUACUAUGCACCUUGUGCCCUCUGGGGUCAAAAAUGACCCCAUCUGGCUUCUCUGAUAUUUAACGCAUAAAGUAUAAAAUGUGAAUAAAUGUUGUGUUACACCUUUAGUUCUACUUCAGUACAACCCAUUACCACACAUUUCUCCCUCAGUUUUGGAGUUUAGUGCCGAUAGACCCUUAUUUAUAUGAAAUUAUACCAUUUUCUGAUUUAAAAAAAAAGUGAAACAAUGAAUUAAUUUGACCAUAUUGUAUUGUGACUAUUUGUCUUAUCAGAGACUGGUAUAUGUCAAAGUCUAGUAAGGAUGCCCUUUUUGAAUAAUUUAUAUAUUUUUAAUGACAACACAUAAUCACACCUUGUGCCCUCUGGGGUCAUUUUUGACCCCGUCUUGCUUGACUCUUAUUUCAAGCAUAAAGUAUGAAAUGUCAAUCCAUUUUGUGUUACACCUUUAGUUUUGCUUCAGUCCAACUC